CAGCACAUAGCCGCAGUGCCCGCCGGUCAUGAAGAGGGCCUGGUUCAUCUGCAUGGGCUUGUCUGCAAAAGCCAGAGCACCCCGCUGCGCCUCGGCCCUUACUCUCUUCAUCGAAGGGAACAGGCCGGCAGUAGACGACAAGCUCGGAGAGUUCAAGGGCGAUCUUCUUCCUCCGCUCCAUCAUCUUCCCCUCAGUGAGCUGGUGGCACACACAAGGGCGCUGUAGCCCCAGGCGGAGCCCCACCGAGAAGAAAGCAGCCCCUGCCAGCCUUGGGCAGUCCACACGUCCUGCAGCUCCUCCUGUGAGUCAGCAGCAACAUCCAGGGACCACUGCGCCACCGAUGCCAUACUGAUGGAGAAGACGAAUGGCCGAUUGUUCUUGCCCUCAGGACGGAUGGCUAGGGGGG